GACGAACGCUGGCGGCGUGCUUAACACAUGCAAGUCGAACGGAAAGGCCCUGCUUUUGUGGGGUGCUCGAGUGGCGAACGGGUGAGUAACACGUGAGUAACCUGCCCUUGACUUUGGGAUAACUUCAGGAAACUGGGGCUAAUACCGGAUAGGAGCUCCUGCUGCAUGGUGGGGGUUGGAAAGUUUCGGCGGUUGGGGAUGGACUCGCGGCUUAUCAGCUUGUUGGUGGGGUAGUGGCUUACCAAGGCUUUGGCGGGUAGCCGGCCUGAGAGGGUGACCGGCCCCAUUGGGACUGAGAUGCGGCCCAGACUCCUACGGGAGGCAGCAGUGGGGAAUAUUGCACUAUGGGCGGAAGCCUGAUGCAGCAACGCCGCGUGCGGGAUGACGGCCUUCGGGUUGUAAACCGCUUUCGCCUGUGACGAAGCGUGAGUGACGGUAAUGGGUAAAGAAGCACCGGCUAACUACGUG
rnacentral:rRNA from 1 species